GAUGAACGCUAGCGGGAGGCUUAACACAUGCAAGUCGAGGGGCAGCAUAGGGUAGCAAUACUCUGAUGGCGACCGGCAAACGGGUGAGUAACGCGUAUGCAACCUACCCUGUACAGGGGGAUAACCCGGAGAAAUUCGGACUAAUAUCCCGUAAUAAUAUCCGGAGGCAUCUUUGGAUAUUUAAAGUUCCGACGGUACGGGAUGGGCAUGCGUAACAUUAACUGGUUGGUAAGGUAACGGCUUACCAAGGCUAUGAUGUUUAGGGGUCCUGAGAGGGUGGUCCCCCACACUGGUACUGAGACACGGACCAGACUCCUACGGGAGGCAGCAGCGAGGAAUAUUGGUCAAUGGGCGCAAGCCUGAACCAGCCAUCCCGCGUGCAGGAAGACGGCCCUAUGGGUUGUAAACUGCUUUUCCAGGGAGAGAAACUUACGCACGUGUUGCGUGACUGACGGUACCCUGGGAAUAAGCAUCGGCUAACUCCGUG
rnacentral:rRNA from 1 species